rnacentral:rRNA from 1 species
UACGAAGGGGGCUAGCGUUGUUCGGAUUUACUGGGCGUAAAGCGCACGUAGGCGGAUCGUUAAGUCAGGGGUGAAAUCCUGGAGCUCAACUCCAGAACUGCCUUUGAUACUGGCGAUCUUGAGUCCGGAAGAGGUGAGUGGAACUCCUAGUGUAGAGGUGGAAUUCGUAGAUAUUAGGAAGAACACCAGUGACGAAGGCGGCUCACUGGUCCGGUACUGACGCUGAGGUGCGAAAGCGUGGGGAGCA